rnacentral:rRNA from 1 species
UACGUAGGGGGCAAGCGUUAAUCGGAAUUACUGGGCGUAAAGCGCACGUAGUCGGCUUUGCAAGUCGGGUGUGAAAUCCCCGGGCUCAACCUGGGAACUGCAUCCGAGACUGCAUUGCUAGAGUAUGGGAGAGGGAAGCGGAAUUUCUGGUGUAGCAGUGAAAUGCGUAGAUAUCAGAAGGAACAUCAGUGGCGAAGGCGGCUUCCUGGACCAAUACUGACGAUCAGGUGCGAAAGCGUGGGGAGCAAACAGG